GCUGGCGGCGUGCUUAACACAUGCAAGUCGAACGGAAAGGCCCUGCUUUUGUGGGGUGCUCGAGUGGCGAACGGGUGAGUAACACGUGAGUAACCUGCCCUUGACUUUGGGAUAACUUCAGGAAACUGGGGCUAAUACCGGAUAGGAGCUCCUGCUGCAUGGUGGGGGUUGGAAAGUUUCGGCGGUUGGGGAUGGACUCGCGGCUUAUCAGCUUGUUGGUGGGGUAGUGGCUUACCAAGGCUUUGACGGGUAGCCGGCCUGAGAGGGUGACCGGCCACAUUGGGACUGAGAUACGGCCCAGACUCCUACGGGAGGCAGCAGUGGGGAAUAUUGCACAAUGGGCGGAAGCCUGAUGCAGCAACGCCGCGUGCGGGAUGACGGCCUUCGGGUUGUAAACCGCUUUCGCCUGUGAUGAAGCGUGAGUGACGGUAAUGGGUAAAGAAGCACCGGCUAACUACGUGCCAGCAGCCGCGGUGAUACGUAGGGUGCGAGCGUUGUCCGGAUUUAUUGGGCGUAAAGGGCUCGUAGGUGGUUGAUCGCGUCGGAAGUGUAAUCUUGGGGCUUAACCCUGAGCGUGCUUUCGAUACGGGUUGACUUGAGGAAGGUAGGGGAGAAUGGAAUUCCUGGUGGAGCGGUGGAAUGCGCAGAUAUCAGGAGGAACACCAGUGGCGAAGGCGGUUCUCUGGGCCUUUCCUGACGCUGAGGAGCGAAAGCGUGGGGAGCGAACAGGCUUAGAUACCCUGGUAGUCCACGCUGUAAACGGUGGGUACUAGGUGUGGGGUCCAUUCCACGGGUUCCGUGCCGUAGCUAACGCUUUAAGUACCCCGCCUGGGGAGUACGGCCGCAAGGCUAAAACUCAAAGGAAUUGACGGGGCCCCGCACAAGCGGCGGAGCAUGCGGAUUAAUUCGAUGCAACGCGUAGAACCUUACCUGGGUUUGACAUGGAUCGGGAGUGCUCAGAGAUGGGUGUGCCUCUUUUGGGGUCGGUUCACAGGUGGUGCAUGGCUGUCGUCAGCUCGUGUCGUGAGAUGUUGGGUUAAGUCCCGCAACGAGCGCAACCCUUGUUCACUGUUGCCAGCACGUUAUGGUGGGGACUCAGUGGAGACCGCCGGGGUCAACUCGGAGGAAGGUGGGGAUGACGUCAAGUCAUCAUGCCCCUUAUGUCCAGGGCUUCACGCAUGCUACAAUGGCUGGUACAGAGAGUGGCGAGCCUGUGAGGGUGAGCGAAUCUCGGAAAGCCGGUCUCAGUUCGGAUUGGGGUCUGCAACUCGACCUCAUGAAGUCGGAGUCGCUAGUAAUCGCAGAUCAGCAACGCUGCGGUGAAUACGUUCCCGGGGCUUGUACACACCGCCCGUCAAGUCAUGAAAGUUGGUAACACCCGAAGCCGGUGGCCUAACCGUUGUGGGGGAGCCGUCGAAGGUGGGACUGGUGAUUAGGAC
rnacentral:rRNA from 1 species